rnacentral:rRNA from 1 species
AGCAGCCGCGGUAAUUCCAGCUCCAAUAGCGUAUAUUAAAGUUGUUGCAGUUAAAAGCUCGUAGUUGAAUUUCGGGGUUAGCAGGUCGGUCGUGCCAUCGGUAUGAACUGGUCUCGCUGAUCCCUCCCUCUUGACGAACUGUGAUGCCAUUAAUUUGGUGUCUCAGGGAAUCAGGACUGUUACUUUGAAAAAUUAGAGUGUUUAAAGCAGGCUCACGCUUGAAUACAUUAGCAUGGAAUAAUGAAAUAGGACGUUUGAUCCUAUUUUGUUGGCUUCUAGGAUUGACGUAAUGAUUAAUAGGGAUAGUUGGGGGCAUUAGUAUUCAAUUGUCAGAGGUGAAAUUCUUGGAUUUAUUGAAGACUAACUACUGCGAAAGCAUUUGCCAAGGAUGUUUUCAUUAAUCAAGAACGAAAGUUAGGGGAUCGAAGACGAUCAGAUACCGUCGUAGUC